GAAAUGCGAUAAGUAAUGUGAAUUGCAGAAUUCAGUGAAUCAUCGAAUCUUUGAACGCACAUUGCGCCCGCCAGUAUUCUGGUGGGCAUGCCUGUCCGAGCGUCAUUUCAACCAUCAAGCCCCCGGGCUUGUGUUGGGGACCUGCGGCUGCCCGCAGGCCCUGAAAACCAGUGGCGGGCUCGCUGUCGCACCGAGCGUAGUAGCAAUCACCUCGCUCAGGGCGUGCUGCGGGUUCCGGCCGUUAAACAGCCUUACAAAACCCAAGGUUGACCUCGGAUCAGGUAGGAAGACCCGCUGAACUUAAGC
rnacentral:misc_RNA from 1 species